rnacentral:lncRNA from 1 species
AGAAGGGGAGGAGCCUGGCUGCACCCCUCUUCAGGCUCAUUUAAGGGCUGACCCUCAGUGAGGAAGGAUCUCUUUGUGGAGCUUCCUCCUUGGUGGAGGCCUUCCCCUGCAAACCCAGAAUCUUUGGAUACGGGUGAGUGAUGUGCUUCCCUUCCCUUGCAGCACCUUGCUGUUGUGCUGCUCCUUCCACCUCUUUUGUAACACCUUUUCCAUGGUGUUGGUCCUUCUGAUUCCUGAAUUUCUGUUAAAUAUUGUAGCAGUUUGUCAGCAGCAAGAAGGAGACCAGGGAAUGCAGAGGUGCUGACUGCCUUCUCUUCAGAGGGUACUGCUGAGAGCUCUCCUCAGGGAUCCUGGAGGAGGUGGUAAGAGACGAUGUAGGUGAAAUGUGUGUCUGCAAGUCCCUUGGCCCUAAUGGGAUACAGGUGUGUGUGCUGAGGAGACAGCCCAACAGCUGUCUCUGACUCUGUCUGAUCUUUCCUAUAGGAAAUGCGUCUGAGGACCAGAGGACAGCCAGCGUUGGCGCAGCCUUCAAACAGGGUGAGAAGCACGGCCUUGCAUCCUUUCCAGUGAGGUGUGGGAACAACUUGUUCUAGAUGUCACAUCCUGGCACUGGGAAGAGAAGAAAAUAGUCUGGGGCAGUCAAGGUGGCUUCAGCUAGAGCAAGCUGGUAGCACUGUGCAGGAGUCUCGCUGAUGAGAGCUGCGCGGCAUUCAUGGAGGGGAACACCAGCAGGAAGAAGGACUGGACUGUGAGCGACAAAGCAGUUAUGGUGUUGCCUUGCCUGGGGCUAUGGAAGCUUGGUCUGGAGGCUUUCCCAGGUUCAGGGCCAGACCAAGAACUGCGAUGGUGCCCUUCUGGAGCAAGGUGAGCUGUGCCCUGUCUGGGUUUUAAGGAGUUCCAGGCAUGCAAGCGUGUUCUGUGUGAGGGUGUGCUUUUGUUUCAGCCCCUCUCUUGGAGGAGUGUGAGACUGUGGGUCCAGUUAAUGUCUGACACUGCAGUGUUCUUUUAUUUCAGGGUUGGGUGUGCUGCUGGAGUCCUGAGAGGAAGGUGAAGCCCUGAGGUUGGAAGGCUGUGGCUGCAGAAGCGGAGCAGAGGGACCAGGUAGGCAUGUGUUGCAUGCUGCUUACCUUAGGGGUGGUUUUCAAUAAGAAAAGUGGCUUGGCUUGGUUGCUUUGGUGGAUUCUUAUGGUGUGGUGGUUUUAAGGGAGAGUAGGGCUAGGUGAGUGAGUUAUGUUUAGAUGCUGUGUGCAGAGAUGUGGUGAAAUGGGGUUAUUGGUGGGUGUUGGAUGAUGUAGCAGGUCUUGAGUGGUGUUGGUGACGGUGUGACUUUUGUGGUUUAGAGGUGGUAUCUUUAGCUUGUGCUUUCUUUUUGUCUUAGUGAUGGUUUUUGGUCAGGCUUGGUUGCUGUGGCUUUUGAGUGGUGGUGGAUAGUUGUUGUGUCCCUUAGAAAAUCCC